rnacentral:rRNA from 1 species
GCACGGAGUUAGCCGAUCCUUAUUCUUACGGUACCGUCAAGCUCCUACACGUAGGAGUGUUUCUUCCCGUACAAAAGCAGUUUACAAUCCAUAGGACCGUCAUCCUGCACGCGGCAUGGCUGGUUCAGUCUUGCGACCAUUGACCAAUAUUCCUCA